CACAAUGUACUGUAGUGGUUUGAGUGUUGGACUACAACUCCUAGAGUCCAGGGUUCAAUUCCCUGCUCAGCCA